CCUACGGGAGGCAGCAGUGAGGAAUAUUGGUCAAUGGACGAGAGUCUGAACCAGCCAAGUAGCGUGAAGGAUGACUGCCCUAUGGGUUGUAAACCUCUUUUAUAUGGGAAUAAAAUGUUCCACGUGUGGGCGUUUGUAUGUACCAUAUGAAUAAGCAUCGGCUAACUCCGUGCCAGCAGCCGCGGUAAUACGGAGGAUCCGAGCGUUAUCCGGAUUUAUUGGGUUUAAAGGGAGCGUAGGUGGAUUGUUAAGUCAGUUGUGAAAGUUUGCGGCUCAACCGUAAAAUUGCAGUUGAAACUGGCAGGCUUGAGUACGGUAGAGGUAGGCGGAAUUCGUGGUGUAGCGGUGAAAUGCUUAGAUAUCACGAAGAACUCCGAUUGCGAAGGCAGCUCACUGGACUGCAACUGACACUGAGGCUCGAAAGUGUGGGUAUCAAACAGGAUUAGAUACCCUUGUAGUC
rnacentral:rRNA from 1 species